GUCGAACGAGAAGGUGUAGCAAUACACUUGUAAAGUGGCGAACGGGUGAGGAAUACAUGGGUGACCUACCCUCGAGUGGGGAAUAACCAGCCGAAAGGUUGGCUAAUACCGCAUACGAUUCCCGGUUUGCGGAUCGGGAAGGAAAGCGAUGCUGUGAGUAUCGCGCUCAAGGAUGGGCUCAUGUCCUAUCAGCUUGUUGGUGAGGUAACGGCUCACCAAGGCUUCGACGGGUAGCUGGUCUGAGAGGACGAUCAGCCACACUGGCACUGCGACACGGGCCAGACUCCUACGGGAGGCAGCAGUAAGGAAUAUUGCGCAAUGGGCGAAAGCCUGACGCAGCGACGCCGCGUGGGGGAUGAAGGUCUUCGGAUUGUAAACCCCUUUCGGGAGGGAAGAUGGAAUGGGUAACCAUUCGGACGGUACCUCCAGAAGCAGCCACGGCUAACUUCGUGCCAGCAGCCGCGGUAAUACGAAGGUGGCAAGCGUUGUUCG
rnacentral:rRNA from 1 species